AGGAGACUAAGGUCAUUCAGAUGCCAAAAGAAAGGCAGAAGGGGCAGCAGCAGGGCAGAGUGGAUAGCAUCUGGACUUUGGAGCUAGAAGCCACUGGUGUACUGUGUGCCACCUCAGCGGCUCAGUCCCCGUGUGGUUGCAGCAACCCUUGGGGCCUUAUUGAGCAAAGCACUGCAGUUGCAACCAGGGAGAGGAGUGCGGCAGCCCACACAGUCCCCGGCUGAGAACGAGUCUGACACUGGACCCUGCCGCCGGUGUGGACAGCACUGGGUCCUGGGGAGGAAGUGCUGCAGAGGGGAAGAGGCGGCCUCGCCCAAGCCCUCUGCUGGGUGGAGAUCACAGACAGCCAGAAAGGGGGAAGAACAGGAGGACUGUGCUGGAGAGACCUGGUCCCUCUGCACUUUCUCCCAGGUCCUAGCAAGUCAUCAAAACAGCGGGUGCCGCAUGGACGCCCUGUGCUGCCCUUCACGGUGUGCCAGGCCCAACCACCCACCCUGGGAGGCAGGUUAUGUUAUCCUCCCAUUUGACAGAUGAGGAAAGGAAGACCGAGAGAGAGAAAGUCACUUGUCCGAGGUCCCCAGUGGGAAGUGGGUAAAACGGGAUACCCACACCCAGGUCUGCCUGGUAUGUAGCCACAACAUAGGGUUGGUGGAGCUACAGUCUAGGUAGAGAGAAGAAGGCCCUGUCUGUGGCCAGGGUCGGGGCUGAGUCUGUAACUGGGAAGGCACCCCAGGGAGGAGCAUGCUCAGCAGGAAGUGGACAGAGUAGGGGCAUGGAGGAAGGAGCACCAGCCAUGUGUCUCCAGUCAGGAAAGCCUCCUGGAGGAGGCAGUGAAGGGGGAAGAGGAGGAGAGGAGGGCCUUGCCAGCAGCCUGAGCACUGGUAAUGAAGCAGGGCCCCAGCCUCUUGGCUGGCCAGUGAACACUUCCAAGAACCUUCAUACUUAAUACCUCUAUCACUCCUCCACUCAACAGAAGGUUGGAACAGCAUUCUACAGCAUUCCAGGAUGUGGAGGGGGCAGCAGUGUUUGUGUGCAGAGUGGCGAGGCCGACCUCCGAUGAGCUUCCCGUAGGAAGGGUGCAGUGGGGGGUGCUCACCCUGCCCAGGGAUGCUAUCUGCUCCAGGACUUGUUUAUCAGCCCACGGGGUGAUCGGCAUGACAUCAAUGGAUAUGCCAGGCUGCAGGCUACAGUGCCGAGAAGGAGAAGACGGAGGCGGUGGUGAUGUCACCCAAGGAAUUAAGUAAGCAGGGGAGCUGAUAACAUCGUCCAGCCAGGCUCACUGUGGGCAGGGUGACUCACUGAAGACGGCCUGCGAUCGCCAGGUGAUUGUUGUUGUGCCCAGCCUGUGGGGCUGGGGAGGAGGAAGGGGGGCAGGCCACAGAGCUGUGACAAGUUCCUCACCGAGGCCCCUGCUCAGGGGAGAGACCUCAGUACACAGUGUCCUCCACCUCUGAGCCCGGGGCUGGCUCAGGAAACAGCCCCCCUCUGCCUGUGCGAUUAUCUUUGUCCACAGUGUUUGGUGUGUGUUUGUGGGGUGUGUCAGGUGAUUUUCCUGCCCGAAGCCUGCUGGGUGCUCCAGGUACUAGCGAUUGCUCACAGCAGAGCAGUAGCCCCCUCCCUGGUUGGACAACUGUCUGUGGAGACAACACCGGAUGGCAAACUGCUAACCGCAACCACGUGGCGUCCUUACAGAGGGAACAGCCUGUUCCUCCCGCUGAGGGCACCUGCAGACCUGCCCCAUUCAUGGCUCCCUUCUCCCUCAGUCCCUGCUGAGGGGAUGGUCCCUUCCCACCCUUAAGGGCACCAUGGACUGUUGUCCAAGUUGAGAACUGUCCAACUGCAGGGGGCACCAUUCACUUGGCAGUCUUCGUGCCAGAUGCUAUGGCUGUCCACAGUGGCCCUGCCCCUUCCCUUUUGUAAAUUACUUCUCAGUUCCCUCCUCCACCAGAAUUAUCACACCAAACUUUCCCCCAUGUAUGCUUGCUUCUUUAUCACCUGACACUCUCAUUCAUUCAUUCCACAAAAAAAUUGUGGCGUUUGUGCAAGGUACUAUUCUAGGCAAGGGAACAAGACAGACCCUCCUGGAGCUCAUGGAGUUCAUAUUCUAGCAUGGGGGAGAACCAAUAAAUAAAUAAUUGGAUACAUAAAACUGCAAGUGACAAUAAGUGCUACAAAGAAAACUAAAGCCAGCCCAGGAUAGAGGGUGAUAGUGCCCUACUUCAGCUAGGACUGCCAGAAAGGCUUCUCUGUGGGGAGGUGGCCUCUGAGGGGAGACCUGGAGGCAGCAAAGGAGGAAGCCUUCCCGGCAGAGCCCCUCCCAUUGGCACCCAAUGCCAAAAGAAGUUUCUAUAACCCGUCCUGGUUCUGCCAGGAGCCUGCGGCAUGGCCUGGGGCGCUCAAUUCCCAGUGCAGGGUGUCUAUUUCUUCCCCCAACAAACAAGAGGCCUAGUCGCAUAGUCUCUUCCAGCAC
rnacentral:lncRNA from 1 species